rnacentral:rRNA from 1 species
UACGGAGGGAGCUAGCGUUGUUCGGAAUUACUGGGCGUAAAGCGCACGUAGGCGGCUUUGUAAGUUAGGGGUGAAAGCCCGGAGCUCAACUCCGGAAUUGCCUUUAAGACUGCAUCGCUUGAAUCCGGGAGAGGUGAGUGGAAUUCCGAGUGUAGAGGUGAAAUUCGUAGAUAUUCGGAAGAACACCAGUGGCGAAGGCGGCUCACUGGACCGGUAUUGACGCUCAUGCACGAAAGCGUGGGGAGCAAACAGG